UUUAGUUCCAAAAAUUAUAUCUGAAAAUAAGUUGACGUUUGAUGUUCAUAAUUUAAUAUUCUUACAUUUUACAUUUUUGCUAUCAAAGCUUUUUUGAUGUCUAAACGGAUAUUAUAAUUAAAAUGUUGUGGGAACGUAGUUUGGGUUAGUUAGGUCACAGUAAGAGGUCACAGGAGAACAAGCCAAUCGGAGAGGAUGAUUCCUAUCACAUGGCCAGGAGGACCAAUCACCGACGAGCAGCAUCGCUUCACGACCAGACUCCAUUGUAUCAAUUUGUGUAUUCUUGCUUAUCCACCGAAAUCCAGGGCCAUCUGGGUAGUAAGUGACCUGUAUUGUAGUUAUAUCUGCCUGUUAGGGUUAGGAACCUUUUCUGCCUCUAAUAGGAGUGUCAACUCCUGUAUAGCGAAGGCCAUUUUCGCUAUAUUGGUGUCAGAAGUAAUCGAGAACAUCUCGCCUGGAAAUUCCCUAGUAGGUCCCUGUCCGUUACCUAGUAGAAGGCGAAAGCCUUUGAACUGUCCCUUUGGCCAGGUUUUUUUCUGAACAGGAUUCCUGUGUAAGAUUAGUAAGGGUUAUUUCUAUAAUUUCUAGCCCGGUUUAUACAGCCUGCGGACUGUCAAAAAACUGGGAAAAUCGCCGUAAGGCUCAAACGGUUAUUCUUUUGGGGUUAUAUCGAUUUGGUUUGAACAUUCUUUUAGUGGAUUAAAUUUGCUUGGACAAAAGAAAUUGUUUUGUCAUAUUUUUCAGAAGUUUAGGCCUCGCGCACGGAAAACGUGCCAAACCGAAAGUACUUUCAUUUUACGCCGGAAGUUCCGGUAACAACAACAACCGGUGACUUGGAAUUUUUCCAAAUUAUUCAAAAAGUUAUUUCAUUCCAUUCUAUUCAAUUCAAGGAUAGAAAGACAGUAAGUGUACUGUUUCUUUUGGUAAAUUUGUGGAAGGUAUCCUUCCCUGUCACUGUACAUAUAUUAUCUUAUUGCUUUUACAUCAAAGGCCAAAAAGAAUGAAAAUUAGAGAGGGUGUAAGGAUAUUGUCUGUAUUGAGGUUCAAGAAAACAAAUAGCAAAUUAUCAAGUAUUUUAAUUUACAACAGAUAUAUCAGCUUUAUACUUUAUAUCUAAGGUUAUGGCUGAGAAAGUAAGUACCCCUUGCAGCAAUACAAAAUCCCCAGGUAACUCGGGUGGGGCUGGGCCUCAAUUCGGAUUUUACCCGCCUAUGUGGGGGUAUGGGUGGCCUUCACCGGGAGGGGUAGCCCCUCACACACGAGACAGGAGGGCUAAUUGGGGGUUUGGAUAUUGGUCCCCAGGGGCGUUAUCCCCGUUCACACCAGGCAUUACAGCCAAUAGACAAUUAGAAUAUUUUCCCCCUGAGGUGGUAUCCCCUCACACGCUAGGCAUGACGGCAGAAGAGGGGCAUGGGUGGUCUUCACCAAAAACAGUAGUCCCCCACACACCAUGUAAGACGACCUAUGAUACGCCGCCUGUGACACCAGUGCCGGCUGCAUCUUCGGUAAAGGUCUUGAGCCAAGGUCAUGCUAAUAACCUCCCGUAUCUCUCGGAAACACAUGUCGGGUAUCCCGUGACUUUUCCUUUAACUCCCCAUGGGGCUAACUGUUCCUACAAUUCGCCAAUACGUAAUAAAAGUUUAUCACAGAGAAUACAAGUUCUGGAGGGUGAGAAUCAAGAACUAAAAUACCAGAGGGAUCGCCUCCAAAAGAAAGUAGAUACAUUGACAGAGAAAUGCGACAUAUAUUGUGUUUGUGUGGAGUAUCUGAUGACUUGUACACGAAUUCUAAGAAAUAAAAAUAAGUCCCUGAAUGACAAGUCAUCGUGGUGGAAGAACUACUCCGACGAAAUUGUUGAGUCUAGUUUAAAGAAAUUUAAGGAAGAUGAUGAAGUCAUAGGAGCCCUUAAGUCAGAAAUUAAUCUCCUGAAUGAGAGUGUGCUAAGGGAGGAAGCCUCCUCACACUUUUCCAAAUCUGAGAUUUCCCCUGAAAUGUGUGAGGUAAGUACCUCAACGGAAUUGGGGGAUUUGUCCUGUGAUACUCUAGUUAAGGAUCAGGGUAGUGUGCCUUGUGUCCCCCGGGUUCCAAUAAAAUCAGAUGAAGACCUUGAACAGUUCUUUAACUUUCUGGACUUUGCAGAGCAGGAUUUGUCCCAAGUUACUGAAUGCAAAUCAUCAAGCUCUCUUAGAAGUGGGGAGAGUGUGGGGGAAAAUGAUAGUAGUGCUCUCAUGUGGGGAGCAUGUCUGAAACCUUGGGGAGAGCAGGCAAAUAGCUCUGGGGUUGUUAGUUCUUUAUUGAGUCCAGAUUCCAGUCUUGAGGGAGUCAGUGAUGAGUCUCUGCAGAGGAGCAGUAGACUGACCAGUAGCCAGUUUGAUAACUCUGCAUCAGAUAAUGGUGGGAGUAAUGUUGCUGACACCACUAAAUUACUGAUUCCCAGCAAGUUAAUUAGUGAAGGAGACCAUUCACAAUCAGAGACUGUACCCACUCAUGAUCUUCGCACUAUGUGUGUUGGUUCAGAUACCAUACUUAACCUUUCUCUGAGCGCCCCCAGUAAUUUAGAAAAUACGGCUACCGUAUUAACCCUUAAUGCCAGCACCCAGUGCAAUAUGGACAGUAAUACAAAUACUGUAACUACCAUUCUGUCCAAUGCCACAUGCAAUAUAGACAAUGUGGAUACCGUAGUAGACCACCAGUCUAGCACCCCAUAUGAAUUGGAUGGUGUUACGGAUACAGUACUUACCUUUCCUUCCAACGCCAUGUGCACUAUUAAUAACACCGGUACCGUAUCAGCCACAAACGCUAGCGCCCUAUACCAUAAAGCAGAUACCGUACUUACCAUAUCUUUGGAUGCCCCAGAAAGUAUGGUUACCCUAGUCACUCCUGUCUCUAGUGCUCCACGUGCUCUGUACAAUAAGGCAGAUAAUGUAUGUAACACUUCUUCUAGUUCCAUGUGUGCUAUAGACAACAUGGAUGCUACAGUCAUCCCCAGCUCUAGCACCCCAUGUGAUUUACACAUUAAUACUGAUACAGUAUCUUCCUAUCCCCCAAGGGCCUUGUUCAAUUUAAACAAUACGGAAACCGUAUUCACUCCUGAUCCUAAUGUCCAGUUAGCUUUGCACCAAAGCAUGAACAUUGCAAAUACCCUGGUUGCAACAACCCUGUGCAAAUUAAACACUAUGGGUACUCAAUAAGCUCCAGUAUCCGAGUGCCCUGCAGAUUGUGACAAUAACAAAGAUACGGCUUUUAGGGAGCAGUUAUCCAAUAAUGUUCUUGAGCACAACACUGUGACUCUUUUUAAUACUGGCCUGUAUAUUUUAAUGGUAAUUCAAGAAGAUAAUCAUAGGAACUGCCUUACAAUAAGAUAUCCUAUAAGUGAAAUUGAUGUAUCUCUGGUGGCUAAAGGAAAUAGGCAAAAUGGUACGUCAGAUUUGCCCAACUCGGAGACUGGUUUUUACAAGAGUAACUCUUUUGACAGCAAAUCUGGGACUUCAGACUCUAGGGUUGAAGGCCAUGACCAAUGUCUUCCACUAAACUCCUUGCCAAGUUUAUGCCAAACUAAAGCCCAGUUCAGUACAAAGUCAUCUGGACCUCAAGUGGCAUCUGGGGAACGUAAGGUCAUAGAUGAAUCAGAAAUAGUAGGGAAUCUUGUUACUAAAGGUCAAGGCACCGGUGGAAAGCUCAGAGGCCAUUGUAUUCCAAAGGUUUGCGGACCUGAUACUAGCAGCUAUGUUCAAUAUCAAGAGCAUGGUAGGGUAUUGCCCUUCAAUCAUUCUGGGAAAUUGCCGCCUUAUCACGUGGGAGAACCAACAGUUAGUUUAUUCCUACCGGGCUUUGCCCAUGAAGGUUCACUUGCUUGGGGGUUGCCACCACCAGCAACCUUGUCAUUGUACUCUGUACCACUCCCUCCCUCAGGGUUUUACUCGCCCCUUCGUUCAGGGAUAGAAAGUUUGUACUACACUUUCCGUUCACAGUCCAGGGUAAUAAUAUUGAAUUCUGACAGGUUCAGUCAGGGCCUCAUUGCCUCUGCCGCAACAGUUUCACAUCAUUGUGGAGAUACUGAAAGAGAGGUUGUUGGUGUAGGGUUUCUGGGAUGUGUUCAGGUCUCCUGUUCAGAUGGACAGAACAGUAGGGGCAUGGUGUGCCAGAGUCUCACUUGUGGGUCUGAUUGUAUUUUGGUAUCACCUGCUAACAUUCCUAGUGUGAGACCAAAGUCUGUGCAGCCUUUAUUUAACCACAGCAUCCUUUGGGCUGUAGCAAAAACCUCUUCCAGAUGGGGAUGGGGAUUCCGGGAUCUGUCACAGGACCGGUCUGGUCUUAGCAAUAGAGAUCCUUGGGCUAAGGGCCUGGGGAAAGGGACUCCGGGUCACGGAUCGCCUACUUCAGAUCCUUUUUCCUAUACGGAUCAGUAGAGGCAAUGCCUCGUCCUUCAAUAGACUUAGAAACUGUGUCCAUCUUCUUGGGGUCUCCCCAGCCUCCUGGUAUCCCGGGUUUAUCCUUGUUCUAGAUGUAGAAAUUGUCCAUCUGCUCAGUGCACCCCAAGCCUAAUGGGCAUCCCAGGUUUAUCAUUGGGAUAACUUAUCCUGAUACCGUCGAGUGCUAAACUAUUUCCAUAGACUAUAAAUUCUACUGGGUCUCUUUAAACCUUAAUGCAGAAUGGUCCAAACUUUAGACAGCUUUGCUUCUUAAGAUCAAUAUGGGGGUCCCAUGAUCUUAAAUGAGGUAUUUCAAUGACUGGGGAGUUCUCAGAUCUGAAUGUUUUGCUAGGUACAUUUUGUGGUAUGUCCUGGUGUACUGCAGUAUGGGUAUCCCAUGAUACACUUUGAUAAGACAUAUUGUUCCGCAGGGUAUCCCAGCGCCUUAAUGAUUUAUUAUGCCUUUUUGGGUAACCUUAAAGUUAUAAACUGAUGUAAGUAUGUGUAGUUCCUGGUAUGCAUUAGUAUCGGUAUUAGUUCUUCCCCUGGGUUUCCCAGGACCUUAAUAAUUUGAUAUGUUUAUCUGGGUUACCCAGAAAAUUAUGAACUUAGGUCAGUAUGGGGAUCGCAUGACCUUAAUUCCAGUUAUUAAAAGAGAUGUUUAGAACAACCACUUCUAAAUGUUCUAAAUGACAAUUAAUCUCCUAUGGGGGAAUCUCGUCCAUGAUUUCAGAAGUCCUUGUUGUCUGGUCUGUUUUGCACCAGAUGUAAAAUCGUUAAUGGUGAAACCUCCAUGAUUAUUAUUAAGCAGGGUAUCCCUGUUAUGCCUGUCUCUACGAGGAACCCAUCUAUAGCCUCCCAGGCCAUCUCUUUUCUGUGUGAUUCACACGGACCCUGGUGACCAACUUUAUAGAACGGGGGGGGGGGGGAGUGUAGUGGGAACGUAGUUGGGGUUAGUUAGGUCACAGUAAGAGGUCACAGGAGAACCAGCCAAUCGGAGAGGAUGAUUCCUAUCACAUGGCCAGGAGGACCAAUCACCGACGAGCAGCAUCGCUUCACAACCAGACUCCAUUGUAUCAAUUUGUGUAUUCUUGCUUAUCCACCGAAAUCCAGGGCCAUCUGGGUAAACUAGUGUUCCAUGGCUACUAAGGUAACUGCUAGCCAAGACCUGGAUGUGUUUAAAGAGGAGAAAGAUGGUGUAUAUAGAGAAGUGGGUAACCAGGCAGUGUGGUCUCUGUCUUCUUGUAAAGCAGUUUUCAUGUAUGUACCAGGGUUUGGAGUAGAGCAGUUGAGAGAUGACUCAUAUGAUUCCUAUUGGCAGUCCGACGGUCCCCAGCCACACCUCG
rnacentral:misc_RNA from 1 species